UUACUCCACAGCCUCGGAUACAGGGCUCAGUUUCUUGGCUUGGUGGAGACGGAUAUGAAUCAAAAUGUGUGGAAGAACUGGGCUCCCCCAAAGUUUAAAUUUUUCGCUUGGCUUGUUAUCAACAAUAGAAUUUGGACGGUUGACAGACUACACCGCCGUGGGUGGCAGAGUUGCAAUCUCUACCCGCUUUGCCAACAAGUCCAGGAAUCGGCGGCACAUCUCCUUUUCCAAUGUCGGUACACCAUUCGAGUUUGGGGCAUGAUCAAAUCCUGGCUUGCUCUUCAUGAUUUACAGCCCGACGAGUGGGUUGUUCUGGACUCAGUUAAGGAUUGGUGGAGUCGGAAUGCCACAAAGCAGACUCCGUCGAGAAGGCUGCUUGUCUCAUUGAUGAUGCUCAUCUCUUGGGAAAUUUGAAAGGAACGUAACACGAGAGUUUUUCGCAAAACUGCAGUUCCGAUGGGAGUGUUGGUCGCCAAGGUCAAAGAGGAGUGCUCGCUUUGGAGCUUCGCGGGAGCAAAAUAUUUGAGUAACAUUAUGCCGCGAGAAUAA
rnacentral:rRNA from 1 species